rnacentral:snoRNA from 1 species
AAUGACAGAUAGCAACAGGGUCUCUUGCUUUUAGGGGGCUGUAGCCAUGUCCCCGAACAUGAAUCUGCAGAUUUUACAGCA